UAGAUGAUCAUUUUAGUUUUCGUUUAUAUAGUGUUUUUUUUUCAAUCAUCUUAAUUUUUUUUGGAAUGUGUGCAUCUGCUGUAAAACACAGAAAUUUGUCUUUGACCUAGUACAUAUUUUUAUGUGUAGCCAAAAUUUUUGGAUACCUUUGCUCUUUAUCAGUCACUUUACUACUACUAACACUGGAAAAUGUUCUAUUCCUCAGCAUCUUACCUACUAGUAUUUAUAAUAUUCAUCAACGUAGAAUGAAAAUAACAAUAUUAUUAACAUAAUUCAUCUACAUUACAAUAGUAAAAUAUUGAACCAGAAAAGCCAAAAAAAAAAAAGCAUAUAGAAAAGGAAAUCAUUUGUACAGAAAAGUCAUGAACGAAAAACAUGUCAUAAAUUAAGGACCGUAUAGGCUUUAUGCAUUUAAGUAAAAAAAAAAAAAAAAAGAACAGCAUUAAAGUGGUGAAACAAAUUAAACAACAAGGGAAAUCAAAGCCAUCGGAAGAAUCAUACUUACAAUCGUAGAAGCGGAAGCCAGUACGCACAAAACCUGAAAAUUCGGAAUCUUUUUAUAACAAUCCUGUAUCCAAAGAUGAAAAAUCAAUUCGUGAAGAUGAUAACGAAUGAAUAGAACGAGAUAAAGGGCGCCGACGGCUAUUGCCAGAUGCAGUUACUCGGGGUCGUGUGAGUUUAUGAGAUAAGGGUCGAGGGAUGGAUUUACCAGAUGCCAGCUUGGUGCGAUAAACGGUACUGAGUCGUGUUCUGGAAGAGGAUUGUUUGCUGACAGAAGGCUUUUCGAGAACCUUUCUUUGUUGAUCAGAAGCUUUCAAGGUAGCGGGUGUUGUCAGGUUAGUAUCCUUUUCUGUUAACGGGGAGUCACCGUCUACGCUGAGCAGAGGAAAUUGUAUAGGAUCAUCAUCACUGAACUCCUUGUAAACAUGGAAAUCUGAUGCAGGUGUAUUACGAAUAGUUACUGAGGUAGCCUUAUUCUGCAUGCUAGGCCAAGGAUCGAGCGUUUCACAAUCAAUUGCAACGUCGUCAAACCCCAGGGAUUGAAUGGGGUCCAAAUGAACAGGAGGAGGCAUAUAUUCGAUAUCUUCUUCAAGUUCAUUUGGUAAAGGAGUGUCUGUUAAAGAGGAACGACGAGGGCUAGCCGAAAGUCGCUUCGACCGCUCUUGUACGGCUGAUCGGGAAAUUCCUUGUGAGUUUGGCUCCAAAAUAGUAGGGGAAUCCAUCGAAAUAUCCAUAGGAGACAUUUUCUUUGUACUGGGAGCAGAAAUAAAUUUGGAAAUGUUAGUACUCUUACCUCCCAGUACCGUUCUAGGAACCGUUACAGAAGAAGGUGCAUUCGACUGCUUUGUAGACCCCAAUGGUGCUCUUUUGGAGCCCGCUCCUUUUGUACCAUUUCUGUUUGAUAUGGGAGUUACAGGAAAAGCGUUUUCUUUUCCAUAUGAAAACAUGGUUCUUGGCAACAUCGUUGUCUAUAGUCCAAGGCUGGUUUAUUAUUUCAC